GGGUGCGAUCAUACCAGCGUUAAUGCACCGGAUCCCAUCAGAACUCUGCAGUUAAGCGCGCUUGGGCUAGAGUAGUACUGGGAUGGGUGACCU
rnacentral:rRNA from 1 species